AUUGAACGCUGGCGGCGUGCUUAACACAUGCAAGUCGUGCGGUAACAGGCGUAGCAAUACGUGCUGACGAGCGGCGAACGGGUGCGUAAUACAUGGGAAUCUGCCCUUUAGUGGGGAAUAACCCGGCGAAAGCCGGGCUAAUGCCGCAUAAGAUCUUCGGAUGAAAGCGGGGGAUCGUAAGACCUCGCGCUGAUGGAUGAGCCCAUGUCGGAUUAGCCAGUGGUGAGGUAACGGCUCACCAAGGCGACGAUCCGUAGCUGGUCUGAGAGGACGGCCAGCCACACUGGGACUGAGACACGGCCCAGACUCCUACGGGAGGCAGCAGUGGGGAAUAUUGGACAAUGGGCGAAAGCCUGAUCCAGCGACGCCGCGUGUGUGAAGAAGGCC
rnacentral:rRNA from 1 species